CCUACGGGAGGCAGCAGUGGGGAAUAUUGGGCAAUGGGCGAAAGCCUGACCCAGCAACGCCGCGUGAAGGAAGAAGGCUUGCGGGUUGUAAACUUCUUUUGACAGGGAAGAGCAGAAGACGGUACCUGUCGAAUAAGCCACGGCUAACUACGGGCCAGCAGGCGCGGUAAUACGUAGGUGGCACGCGUUGUCCGGAUUUACUGGGUGUAAAGGGCGUUUAGCCGGGGUGACAAGUCAGAUGUGAAAUACUGGGGCUCAACCCCCGAACUGCAGUUGAAACUGUUGGUAUUGAGGAUCGGCGAGGCAGUCGGAAUGCCUAGUGUAGCGGUGAAAUGCGUAGAUAUUAGGAGGAACACCAGUGGCGAAGGCGGACUGCUGGACGACAACUGACGGUGAGGCGCGAAAGCGUGGGGAGCAAACAGGAUUAGAUACCCGGGUAGUC
rnacentral:rRNA from 1 species